GUACUGGUGGUUAAGGACUGGGUACUGGUGGUUAAGGACUAGGUACUGGUGGUUAAGGACUAGCUACUGGUGGUUAAGGACUGGGUACUGGUGGUUAAGGACUGGGUACUGGUGGUUAAGGACUGGGUACUGGUGGUUAAGGACUAGGUACUGGUGGUUAAGGACUAGGUACUGGUGGUUAAGGACUGGGUACUGGUGGUUAAGGACUAGGUACUGGUGGUUAAGGACUAGCUACUGGUGGUUAAGGACUGGGUACUGGUGGUUAAGGACUAGGUACUGGUGGUUAAGGACUAGGUACUGGUGGUUAAGGACUGGGUACUGGUGGUUAAGGACUAGCUACUGGUGGUUAAGGACUGGGUACUGGUGGUUAAGGACUGGGUACUGGUGGUUAAGGACUGGGUACUGGUGGUUAAGGACUAGCUACUGGUGGUUAAGGACUAGCUACUGGUGGUUAAGGACUAGCUACUGGUGGUUAAGGACUGGGUACUGGUGGUUAAGGACUAGCUACUGGUGGUUAAGGACUAGGUACUGGUGGUUAAGGACUGGGUACUGGUGGUUAAGGACUAGGUACUGGUGGUUAAGGACUAGGUACUGGUGGUUAAGGACUAGGUACUGGUGGUUAAGGACUGGGUACUGGUGGUUAAGGACUAGGUACUGGUGGUUAAGGACUAGGUACUGGUGGUUAAGGACUAGGUACUGGUGGUUAAGGACUAGCUACUGGUGGUUAAGGACUAGCUACUGGUGGUUAAGGACUAGGUACUGGUGGUUAAGGACUAAGUACUGGUGUGGGUAACACAAUCUAUAAAGCAUUCAAUGUUGCGAUUUGGCAGCGAGGCGAACCCAAACUCGAAGUUGUCUGUAAAAGCUUGACCAUGUGGCCGAGUUCAUGAACUCAUGCACAUUCUAAGAGUAAAGAAUAACUUAACAAAGUAAACGUUAUCUUUUGUCUAUGAAAUAACUUGGUCAUUGAAGAUGCCUGGACAACUCCAAUCUUUGUGCAAAACAAACUGCAGUAUGAUUGCCAUCGACACACAGGGUGACAUCCUACUGUUUAGCUCCAAGACAUUUUUCUCAGGUUCAAAGGCAUAUUUUCCAUUACUUUAAACGUAACGUGUGUGUACGAUAUUGCACUGGUGUAGUCUAUAUUGGUUAGGGUAGGAUAUUUAGUCUAUGGGUUAGGGUAGGAUAGGGUGUAGUCUGUAUGGUUUAGGGUAGGAUAGGGUGUAGUCUAUGGGUUAGGGUAGGAUAGGGGGUAGUCUCUAUGGGUAGGAUAGGAUGUAGUCUCUAUGGGUUAGCGUAGGAUAGGGGUAGUCUCUAUGGGUUAGGGUAGGAUAGGGGGUGGUCUAUUGGUUAGGGUAGGAUAGGGGGUAGUCUCUAUGGGUAGGAUAGGAUGUAGUCUCUAUGGGUUAGCGUAGGAUAGGGGUAGUCUCUAUGGGUUAGCGUAGGAUAGGGGUAGUCUCUAUGGGUUAGGGUAGGGUAGGGGGUAGUCUCUAUGGAUUAGGUAUGGGUUAGGGUAGGAUAGGGUGUAGUUUAUGGAUUAGGUAUGGGUUAGGGUAGGAUAGGGUGUAGUUUAUGGAUUAGGUAUGGGUUAGGGUAGGAUAGGGUGUAGUUUAUGGAUUAGGUAUGGGUUAGGGUAGGAUAGGGUGUAGUUUAUGGAUUAGGUAUGGGUUAGGGUAGGAUAGGGGGUGUAGUUUAUGGAUUAGGGUAGGAUAGGGUGUAGUUUAUGGAUUAGGUAUGGGUUAGGGUAGGAUAGGGUGUAGUUUAUGGAUUAGGUAUGGGUUAGGGUAGGAUAGGGUGUAGUUUAUGGAUUAGGUAUGGGUUAGGGUAGGAUAGGGUGUAGUUUAUGGAUUAGGUAUGGGUUAGGGUAGGAUAGGGUGUAGUUUAUGGGUUAGGGUAGGAUAUUUUAAGAAUUUUAACAAGCUGUAGAAAAUAUUGUUUUCUUUCCUGUCCUUGGUAUCAGUUGAAAAUAAUAUCUAGUCUUCAAAAUGUCCCUUAAUUUAUAUCAAAUUAAUAAUUUGUUUUCAAUUGAUACAUCUUGAUGCCUCUGUCAUGGUUGAAUAAUGAAAUAGGGGUUUGCUUCACUUAUUGGGACUAAAACUAUUACCAGUAUUGAUGAGUAAGAAGAGUCACUGGCCUCGAACCUAUCUGGUUAAAGUAUCACACUGAUUGUUGUUGGUCCUAGUCCUUCCCUCAAGUGCUUUAUGUUUGUAUAUACCGUAUUCCUUGUGUGCCACAACCUGAGGUAUUCUAAUUUAUUGUUUGUCUUUUGUUACGUUUUUGUACUAUAGUUUCUUUCAGAUUGAUUGGAAUUUUCCCAAAAGAUUGUUUCACCGUAUGAUAAAUAAUUGUGGUAAUAUUUAUUCACCAUUAUUAGAAAUGUACUGGACUUGGGGGGGGGGGGUUCCCCCAAAUACUAAGUCUAAAUGAGAAUGUCAUACAAUGUUUUGUGACAACUGAAAAGCACAAGAGAAAGAAAGGGUGUGAACGAUAUGAAGUUUGCAAUAGAAUGAGAGUAUCGGCCAAAGUGGUAUUGACCAGGGUACGUCAGCAUGAAUCUACUCUCAGCCAUUGCUCACCACAAAUGAAUUUCAACAUCAGGGAAUUCACUCCGCUCAAUAAUGUUUGUUUUUAGUUGUUUUACAUAUCUGAUGUUUUUUUUUUUGUACACUUCCAUCCCUCAUGAAUUGACAUCCAGUGUUGGCUUGUAGAUUACCAAAUGUCUUCGGUUUAAAUAAAUAUUUUUUUUUCUUCCAUGUUA